UACAGAGGGUGCGAGCGUUAAUCGGAAUUAUUGGGCGUAAAGAGCUCGUAGGCGGUCUGUUGCGUCGGCUGUGAGAACCCGGGGCUCAACCCCGGGCCUGCAGCCGAUACGGGCAGACUAGAGUUCGGCAGGGGAGACUGGAAUUCCUGGUGUAGCGGUGAAAUGCGCAGAUAUCAGGAGGAACACCGGUGGCGAAGGCGGGUCUCUGGGCCGAUACUGACGCUGAGGAGCGAAAGCGUGGGGAGCGAACAGG
rnacentral:rRNA from 1 species